UUGGGCUAUGGCAGUGGUUCCCAGCCUUGGGUAACCCAGGUGUGCUUGGACUGCAUUUCCCGGAAGCCUUCACCACUGGUUGUGCUGGCAGGAAUUUCUGGGAGUUGCAGUCCAAGAAUAUCUGGGUUGCCCAAAGUGGGAACUCCUGAACUAUGAUAGCUGUUAUCCCUCCUUAGGGAUGAUGGGCACUGCAGCCCAACUCGUCCGCAGGGCACCGGGCUGAAGAAGACUCAACUGCAGAAAUGAUGGGAAAACGAACAAAAUUGUUCCCGGGCUGUACCAUCACAACACACAAGUGACAACAAUGCUGACUGCAUGUUUGAAUAAGAGGCCAUGGGCGCCUCCCACCUGCUCAGCCUUGAUCCAAUUUCAUAGAACAUGGCCCCUGCAUUCCUACAGAACCAUGGCUUGGUUUUGUUAUAAAGACACCUGAAUAAACAGGCAAUGCAACCAGAACUCAAAAAAUACGUUGGCUAAAAUGGAUUUGGAAUAGACAGAAGCCUCUUGCAACAGAACCAGUACUCUUGAGCCAUCACAGCC
rnacentral:lncRNA from 1 species